rnacentral:rRNA from 1 species
GAUGAACGCUGGCGGCGUGCCUAACACAUGCAAGUCGAGCGGCAGCGCGGGGUGCUUGCACCCUGUCGGCGAGCGGCGGACGGCUGAGUAACGCGUGGGAACGUUCCCCAAAGUGCGGAAUAACUGCCCGAAAGGGUAGCCAAUACCGCAUAUUAUCUUUGGAUCAAAGGAUUUAUCCGCUUUAGGAGCGGUUCGCGUCGCUUUAGGUAGUUGGUGUGCUAAUGGGUCACCAAGCCGACGAACCGUAGAUGGGCAGAGAGGAUGCCCAGCCAGACUGAAACUAGGACGCAGUCCGGACUCCUACGGGAAGCAGCAGUGAGGGAUCGUGCACAAUCGGCGGAAGCCUGAUGGAGCAACGACGCGUGCAGGACGAAGGCCGUCGGGUUGUAAACUGCUUUUAUAAGUGAGCAAUAUGACGGUAACUAAUGAAUAAGGAACGGCUAACUACGUG